rnacentral:rRNA from 1 species
GACGAACGCUGGCGGCGUGCUUAACACAUGCAAGUCGAACGGAGAGGCCCUUCUUUUGUUGGGUGCUCGAGUGGCGAAGGGGUGAGUAACACGUGAGUAACCUGCCCUGGACUUUGGUAUAACUUCAGGAAACGGGGGCUAGUACCGUAUAGGAUCUCCUGCUGCAUGGUGGUGGUUGGAAAGGUUCGGCUGUUGUGGAUGUACUUGCGGCUUAUCAGCUUGUUGGGGUGGUAGUGGCUUACCAAGGCUUUGACGGGUAGCCGGCCUGAGAGGGUGACCGGCAACAUUGGGACUGAGAUACGGCCCAGACUCCUACGGGAGGCAGCAGUGGGGAAUAUUGCACAAUGGGCGGAAGCCUGAUGCAGCAACGCCGCGUGCGGGAUGACGGCCUUCGGGUUGUAAACCGCUUUCGCCUGUGACGAAGCGUGAGUGACGGUAAUGGGUAAAGAAGCACCGGCUAACUACGUG